GACGAACGCUGGCGGCGCGCCUAACACAUGCAAGUCGAACGUGUGAGAGAGAGCUUGCUUUCUCGAGCGAGUGGCGAACGGGUGAGUAACGCGUGAGGAACCUGCCUCAAAGAGGGGGACAACAGUUGGAAACGACUGCUAAUACCGCAUAAGCCCACAGGUCGGCAUCGACCAGAGGGAAAGGGAGCAAUCCGCUUUGAGAUGGCCUCGCGUCCGAUUAGCUAGUUGGUGAGGUAAUGGCCCACCAAGGCGACGAUCGGUAGCCGGACUGAGAGGUUGAACGGCCACAUUGGGACUGAGACACGGCUCAGACUCCUACGGGAGGCAGCAGUGGGGAAUAUUGCACAAUGGGGGAAACCCUGAUGCAGCGACGCCGCGUGGAGGAAGAAGGUCUUCGGAUUGUAAACUCCUGUUGUUGAGGAAGAUAAUGACGGUACUCAACAAGGAAGUGACGGCUAACUACGUGCCAGCAGCCGCGGUAAAACGUAGGUCACAAGCGUUGUCCGGAAUUACUGGGUGUAAAGGGAGCGCAGGCGGGAAGACAAGUUGGAAGUGAAAUCUAUGGGCUCAACCCAUAAACUGCUUUCAAAACUGUUUUUCUUGAGUAGUGCAGAGGUAGGCGGAAUUCCCGGUGUAGCGGUGGAAUGCGUAGAUAUCGGGAGGAACACCAGUGGCGAAGGCGGCCUACUGGGCACCAACUGACGCUGAGGCUCGAAAGUGUGGGUAGCAAACAGGAUUAGAUACCCUGGUAGUCCACACCGUAAACGAUGAU
rnacentral:rRNA from 1 species